rnacentral:lncRNA from 1 species
GGAGGUAUUUUAGAAUACCUCUUUUCUCUUCUUUUUCCUCUCCUUCUUACCUGUCCUCGAACCUUGGCAGCAAGAUAAGACUGUGCAAGUAUCAAACCACCAAGGCACUUUAGAGGGAGGUGCUAAUUGGUUCUAACAUUUAGUAAUAAAUAAAGCGAACAUCCAUUAAACAAAUAACUCCCUGACUAAAGAGAUAAGGUGUAUUUUUUAAUUAUGUUUGUUACUAAAUAAUAUAACUUUGAAUUCAAAUUAAUUGACAAAUUUGUAACAUUUCUAUUAAAGAGAUUAUCAUAAUUCAGAAUUAAUAUUCAAAUCAAACAGUCAUCACUUUGUACAGUUAACAUGGCACUCACUGUAUUAUAAAGUGUCUAUCUAAUUUUCGUAAUUUUUAAAACUUUAUUCGAUAAAUAAAAUAAAAUAGCUAAUUUGCCACUAUUUUUAUUUUAUUUUAUUUUAUCUUCUUUAUCCCAUUUAAUGGUUUCAUUAAUGUUUAAGAGGAAAAUUAAUGAUAAUUAAUCUUGACCUUCUUCUUGCACAAAAGGAUGAAGAAAAAUCAACAGAGAGAGUAACAGUUGAACUAAUCUUUGCUUAUGUCCUGUCUUUACCUAAAGAAAACGUGUGACGGUGGUGCAAAACUGGGAAAUUGACUUCCUGAUAUAUAAUGUAAUUAUCGACGAAUUAUUAUUUUAUUUUUUGAUAUAAAUUUUGUUAACUCUUAAAAAUAAAAAAAUUUUCGAAAAUAAAAUCUUACUUUUAAAAUUUAUUAAAUUGUAGGAAAUAAAUAAUUUAAUAAUGUACUUUUCUAUUAUUAUUAGUUUCCCAUAAAUUGUGGUUCUAAUAAAUUUCAAGAUAGGAGAAUUGACAGAAGGUGGGGUUAGUCCUUGGUGGAAUAUUAUGGGCCUAUGUUUUUAUUCCAUGUACUGAAAAUAAAUAAAUAUAUAUAUAGCCAUUAAUACUCCUAAUUAGAAGAUUUUCUUCUUUGUCACAACAUCCCUAAUUUUGAGGUCUGGGAUUUGUAGGUCAUUGUCAUCUAAACAGUUUAGUAUCUUAAAUGUACAAGACUGAAGAGGGGUGUUGUGAUGGAAGGGGUAAACUGUUUCCUUGAACACAACAUCCCUUGAGUAGAAAAUCUGCUUAAAGUGCAUGCCAUAGAUCUUGUAACCCUUCUGUUGAGCCCCAUAACCCAACAAUACACAUGGUUUAGCUCUAGGAUCAAAAUUGUCUUUGUGUGGUUUAGUAUUAGUUGCAAAACACAGGCAGCCAAUAACUCUUAGGUGUGUCAGGUCUGGUUGGAUUUGAUUUAGUUUUUCAAAAGGGCUUAACCAUUCUAAGAGUGCAGAAGGCACUCUAUUGGUUAGGUAAACAGCAAAUAGGAGAACUUUAGACAAAAAAAUCUUAGGGAAUUUGGCCUGAAAAAGAAGGGCUCUCCCAAUAUUCAAGAUUUCUUUGUGUUUUCUCUCCACUCUACCAUUUUGCUGUGGAGAAUAGGAACAAGAUACUUGAUGUGUAAUUCCUUUAGAAAGAAAUAAUAUCUUCACUACAUUAUUCACAAACUCAGUGCCAUUAUCAGUCCUUAUUGCUUUGAUUUGGGUGUGAAAUUGGGUGUCUAUUAGGUUAGUAAAGUGGUCAAGAAUUGAGUGAGCUUGUUGUUUGUUUGGUAACAUGUAGGCCCAUGUGUAUCUAUUAUAGUCAUCCACAAUGGUAAGCAUAUAUCUGACACUAGUCAAAGAAGUAAUAGGAUAAGGUCCCCAUAGGUCAAUGUGUACUAAAUCAAAUAUGCCUUUGGCUAAGGGUGACCACGGUUCCGAAAUCGACAGUUCCGAUUCCAAAUUUUUUGAAACCGGAACCGAACCGAAAAUUUCCAGUUUCGGUUUCGGUUUGAAAUCGAACGGUUCUGGUUCCUUAAUGGUUUCAAAACCGACGGUUCCGAUCUGUUUUCCGACAAAUCACAUAAUUUUAAAUUUUAAAUUUUGAAGACCGGUUUUCAAAAUUUAAAAAAUUUGGGAAAGUUAUUUCUAAAAAAAAAUUUCAAAUUUGUAAAUGGAAUGGAAUGGGGUAUUUAUAAUAAAUCCAAAAAAUUUUUUUUCCAAAAAUACUCUUGAAACUAGCCGUUAUGUGGCCGUUUAUGGUUGUUGGGAGAGGUCAUUAAGAGAUUUCACAACAAAAUUUAAAAGAAAAAAAAUCUGACAGUUUCUAACGGCUAGAACCGCCGGUUCGAACUGGCGGUUCUAACCGGCCGGAGAACCGGUGGUUCCAUCCGGUUCCCACCGGUUUGUGGAACCACCGGUUUGCGGUUCCAACAAUACUGGAACCGGAACCAAACCGAAAAUCUUUGGUUCGGACCGGUUCCGAUUCCCGGAACAGUAAUAUGGCCACCCUACCUUUAGCAAUAUUACAACUUGGAUAAAAUGGUAAUAUUUGUUGUUUUGCAAGGGGGCAAACAUUACAUUCAAGAGUACCACUGUUUGUAUCAAAAUUUAUUACAUGAUUUUGUCUAGCCAUAGAGAUAUGACCCAGUCUAAGAUGCCAUAAUAGUCUCAAAUGAUCAUCAUGUGUAGUACCAGUAAGUAGGGCUUCAGUAGUAGUAAUAGGCACAAAACACUUCUUAUCAAGAAAAUAUAAGCCUCCAUUCAACUUGCCAAUAGCUACUACUUCAUCAGUCUGCAAAUCCUAUAACAAACAGUGGUCAGGUAGUGUUUUCACUGAUAGUGCAUUGUCUUUUGCAAGGGCUGAUGCGGAUAAUAAAUUGCAUUUGAAUGUUGGUAUAUAUAACACAUCCUUUAAUACCAGUCUGUCAUGUAUUAUGAUCUUGCCAACAUGUGUUAUAGUUCUGGUGGAGUUAUCAGGUAGGGUUACUGUUCUAGGUUUAGGUAAUUUGGUUAAUGUAUGAAACAGAUGAUGCAUGUAUGUCAUAUAAUCAGUUGCACCAGUGUCAACAAUCCAUGGAACUAAUUCACAUUUAUCAUGCACAUUAUAAUGAAAAUGAGAGACAAUACCUGCAAAACUAACUGCGUUAGCUAUAGGUGUAUCUCCUGCCUUAUCAUCAUACUGCAUUUUAUCUUUGAUUGCCCGCUGGAUCUCCAUUCUCACCAGUCUGGAUACAUCAUUCUCAUUGCCACCUGAGUUAACAUUCAACUGUGCAUCACCUACUUGUCCAUAAUGUGCUUGAGCUUUCUUCUUCUUUUUGAGUUCAAUAAACCAAUCUGGAUAACCAGUUAGUUUAAAACAAGUUUCUCUAGUGUGGCCGGUCCCAUUACAGUGAUCACAAUGCUUGUCAACUUUAGAUCUGGAAUUAUUGCUUGUAUUUUUGCUGUUGUAGUUUGAUUUUUGCACAUACAUUGCACUGCUAUUCUCACUUGAAUCAUAGAUUGUAGUAUUCACCUCCCUCUGUUUUUCAACACUCAGUACCAUUGAAUAAGCCUUGCUCAUACUUGGAAAUGGAUCCAUAAAUAGGAUUUGAUUUUUAACAUUAUCAUAUGUAUCAUUCAGUCCUAAGAGGAACUGCAUGAGUUUUUCCUCUCCAUCUAGAUCUGAGACUGCUCUUAUAACACCUCAGGUACAUCCUUCUGCAAUUCCACAGAUGCAUUCGGGAACGGGCUUUAAACAAGCCAACUCAUCCCAGAGUUUUUUAAGUUUUGUGUAGUAAUUAGCUACUGUUUGAUUACCUUGUACAGUUACUAAAAUAUCUUUCUUUAUUUGGUAAAUCAUAGGUCCAUUAGAUUCACCAUACCUGGAGGACAGUUCAUUCCAAAGAUCUUUGGAACUUUGAUAAUACAGAAAUGCUUCAACUAAAUCUUUUGAAAUAGAGUUUAAGAUCCAAGAUGUUACCAGAUUAUCGAUUCUCUGCCAUCUCUUUUUCAAUGGAGGUCCAGCUAUAGGUUCCUGUUCUUCACUAGUGACAAAUUCAUACUUGUCUCUGGCCUUUAAGGCUAUGGUCAUAGAUCUGCUCCAUGACAAGAAAUUCUGGCUAUUCAAGGAAAUAUUAAUGAGGUUUGAAGCUGAAUUUUCAGAUGCAGAAACCUUAUAAGUUUCUGAUUCAUGGUUUGAGUUUUCAUUGUUUUGGUUAUUGUUUUCUGACAUUGAUUUCAGGAAAGGAAGUUUGAAUGAGGCUUUAGAACUUCAAAUACCAGAUCAGGCUCUGAUACCAUGAACAGAAAAGCAAAAUAGAUGAAGAAUUUUGUAUAUUUCUUCUCAUUAUGAAAUCUGUACAUUGGGUUCUAUUUAUAUUUACAAAUGCGUAGUAUAUUCUUAUUUUAGGACCUACUGUAUUGUACAUUAUCUCAUGUAACAGAAUUACGGCUGUAAAAUGGGUUUGUUAUAUGGGUUAAUGGGUUAGUUGGGGUUGUUAUAUGGGGUAAUGGGUUAGUUGGGUUUGUUAUAUGGGCUUGGGUUAAGUAAAAUGGGCAUGGUAUGUGGGUUUAAUAUAAAUAGAAAAUGUUGUGUUUGAGUUUUAGGGUUUUCUUUGGUUAGAACGACAGCUUCUCUGAUGCUGGCUUUUAGGCUCAUAUUCGUUCACUAAUCCACUCAGCAGUUUUAUGUUCUUCCACAAAUAAGUUUGCAUAAAAUAGUUUAACUAGCAUAAUAUUAGCUUGAUUAUCUAAAGACAGAAACAACUUCAUUUCAGCAUAAAAAAAUGUCUAAAUUUAAUCUAACUUUCUUCAAAUCCUCGAAAUCUAUAAUUUUUUCACCCUCAACUUUUUCAUUAACUAUAACUUGAGUAUAAAAAUAUUUCCUAUCCUUAGAAAUGAACUCAUACCUUUCCAUGAAAAAUGCAUUUCUCCCAUCAUUGUCUUAUUCAGAUCGUUCUUCCUCUGUCUCACUUGUCUCAGACUCCUUAAUAAUACUUUUCCUUGUCUUAUGAGGUGGAUUUUUAGGGGUUGAUUUUUCUUGUUUUUGGAAGGUUGUUUUUUGGUUGUGGUCGUUUCUUCUGGGCUAGGGUAGGAGAGAGGAAUUUUGAGGUCAACCCUUUCCAUGAGUCCCUUUUUUUUUUCCUUCGGAGAAGGCAAAACAGUCACCGCCAUUUUUUUCAAAUCCUUCGUGACUUUUAUUUUUCGUUGAACUGGAUUCGAACUCUCUUCCUUAUUAAUCGUCAUUUUCGAUUUUUUUAGAAGUAAUGCUUGACUUCUUGUUCUUUGUCGACAUUUAUACAAGUCGUUGGCAUCUAUUGAACCGUUGCUUAGUGGCGGUUACGAGAGAGAGAGAGAGAGAGAGAGAGAGAGAGAGAGAGAGAGAUGGUGAAUUUUAGGGAUUUCAAGAGAACGGUUUCUAAUAAAAAUCCUGAUUUUUUUCCUUUUUUGAAUAAUUAAAACACACCCGCAUCUUUAAAAACAAAACGUUACCGUUUUCCAAACUUAACUGAGCAUAACAUAUAUUCGUUCUUGACAUCAAUAGUUGUGGCUAAAUUUACAAUGAUAAAAGUGGACAUUUAUUCAUCAAAUAUAAUAAUAAGGGCUAACUCUGUAUUUAUGUGGCCAAAUUUAUAAAAACGAUCACUAUUACUAUAAAAAGAAAUGAGAAAGUAAGUUGAUAACUUGUCUCUUGAAACAUGCGUACAUUAAAUACUGAGAGUAUUUGUAUUUAUCACUUUCGUUGAUUGUUGAGCUUCAAUCUUAAAAAAUAAAUAUACUUCAAAGGGUUUCUAGUCUUUUUAACUUGGCUAGCAUCAGAAAGUUAUUAUUUAGAGUAACUUUCUCUAUAGAAAAAAAAUAUACUCAAAAAGAAAAAAUGGAGGGAGUAAUAAAGUAAAUUGAAUUUGUUGAUAAAAAAAUUUAGAGGCUAAACCAAUUCAAUUUUUAUACUCACUACUACUGGAAGAUAAUAUUAAAAAUUUUCGAGGGUUAAAGUUGCAAAAAAUGAAGUGUAAAGGAGAAAAGGCCAAAUUUUAUUGGUUCAACUGGUCUGUCAACCAAUCGAACCAGAGAAAUAAAAUGGGUAUAGGUGUAAAGGUGUAUAUAAUAGCAAAGAAAAACAAAUAACAUCACUGCAUUAAGAUUUGAUGAUGGAGAGAGUGAAAUUAUUGACAAAAAAAAAAAAAAAAAAAAAAAUUUCAUCGUUGCAAUGAGCUGUGGUCGAAUUUUGUACGAUGACGAAAUCUUACCGACGACGUGUCAUUUAGUCAAAUGACUCUCUAACAGCCUGUAAAGUACACUGAAAAGAUUAUGUCAGCCGUCCAAUUCCAUAGACAGAUUAUUAUUCAGUUUGUAUUUCCUUAAUCGACACUAAACAUUUUUAUUAUUAUUACUCUUUAAUAGUAUGAUAUUUUGGUCAAAGACAAAGACGCUUAUCAGCGCAAGGUACCAUCUACACACAGAAGGAGCCUUGUCGUUUGGGUUUGUCUCACUGGACUUUGGUGGGACCCAAUAAGAUUGCGCCGGCCCUAAUACAGUCUGCAUGUACGGAAACUCAUGCACUUUGUGCCUUUCUAGUUCCUUCUCGGAAAGUAGGUAGAUAAUUAUAUUACCUACAAAAGGCUUCGGUAAGCAUUACCUCAUUACAACAUUAGGAAUUUUUUUCAUAAUAAUAAUUAAUCUUCGCUAUUUCUACAUUUUUAUCUGCAAAAGGAUAAAAGUGUAAGUUGAAAAAACUCACUGUCUCCAGGGAGAUCCAUCGCACUUGAUUUGUCCAAGAUGGAGUUGGGUUUGGUCAUUCCUAUCUGUAGUUACUUAUCUUGCUCAUCUUCAUAACUCUUUGUUCUUAAAUUCUCUCGUAAUUGUCCAUCACAGCACUGGUUAUUUUCUCCUUGAGUUUCUCUUUAAAAACACACCCACAAAACUAAACCUAAACCUAACUGAUAAAAUAUGCCUCCUUCUGCUCUUUCUUCCUUCUCUGCCACUGAUCCCGAUGGUGGUCCUAAGGUUACCUUCUCUGGAGAUGAGCUUUUUACCAGAGAAGCUAUUCUUAAGCUUAAAACCAGACCUAAAACGAUCAAAAGGACUACUAGUAUCCAGUCUCGUCUAUUAGUCUUCACCUUCUUAUUAGCACUUAUCUCACACCUUUUCUGUACCUCCUGUGGUGAAGUUGGUACCGCUGCUCAAUACAGCUACAAACACGUUUCAGCGCAGUUUCAGUCAAAUAAGGCAGCCGGAGAUGGAGCUAAUAAGAAGACGGUGGGUGUUGACAAAGCACAACCAGAAACUUCUGUUCCAAACCCCUGUACGUACCUUCCGGUAAGAUAUGGGAAGCGCUGCUCAAAGCAUUAGAUUCAUAAUUACAUUUCUCCGAUAUUUUAUAUAAUUUUUAAGUUCAUAUUUGAAGUUUUAAUUAUAAGCAUUAAUUAUAUCUCUUUGUUCAUGCUCUUAAUUCUUCUACAAGUGAUUUAUCUGCUUUUGGUCUUAUUGUCAAAUAGAUUAGGAGAGAAGUAACUCAUACUUUGUCUAGAGCUUCCCAUAAUCAUGCUGGUUUUCAUGUUUAGGAGAAUAUACCUCCAUGUUUGUAUUUCCUUUGUAAAUUGUAAUGCUUAAUGAAGUUCUUUCAUUUUCAAAAAACAGAUAUAUAUCAUAUAUACAUGGUUUCAACCUUUUCAUUUCCUUUUUCUUUGUAUGUCUAUCAUAUAUCUAUGCGUAUGAUAUGGAAGGUUUAUGUAAUUUUGUUAUGUGCUUGAGCGAACGUUAGGCUUCUCGUGCUACAAUUCGAGGAAUAUAAAGUUUCCACUCAAAUAUUUCAGGCCAUAUAUGCUUGAUUUCGAGUUAAAUCAACCCAACUGCAAAUCGUAGUUGAACUCAAUUUAGGAAUAAAUUGAACGUUAGGCUUCUCUUUUUUUUUUUUUUUAUUUCUCCACGUUUAUGAUAUAUUGAUGUCAAUUUUGAUUGAAUUUAUAAUUAGGGAGCAAUUUUUGAUAUGAGUUAAAGUCAUUUUAUAUUGAAAUUAUUACAAGUCGAACGGUUAGAGAUAACCGAAAUAGUUUAGCCUAAAUAUAAAUCUUCCUCUCAUAAUAUAUUUUAAGAUCUAAAUUUUUUAAUUUUAAUAAGAAAUUUCUGUUACAUGUAAUUAAAUUAAUCAAAGAUAAAUACAAAUACAUAAUUAAAUUUUAACAAAUCAUUAAAUUAGUAUCUCACAAAACUAAAAAUUUCAGUUCAUUGAUAAGAAAUAAGUACAACUUCCAUUUAGUUAGUUAGUAAUGUCACUUCAAAUAUUCAAAGGGUUAAAAGUUGAACCUGUCCACUUCAAACAUUAAUAAAGUAUUGUAUUUGUAAAUCAUAAUGCUUGUACUAUACAUAAAUCAUUAUAAAAUUAGUAAACCAAGUUGACCGUAUUGAAUAAUUCAGUUCAAAUCAACUAAUUACUGUUAAGAUAAAUUGAAAUUUUCAAAGAAAUCUGAACAAAUAAAAAAUUUAGUACCUUUCAAAUUCCACCGACAAAUUCAGCAAUCUAUCCUGUAAUUUAGUACCUCAAAAUUAUGAGAGCUCCUAACCAAACCUGAAAUGGAAGUCCAAUAUUGAAGGUCCAACCCAUUACCAUUUGGACCAAACUAUGCUCUAUCCAUUGGGCUAGAGUCACUGUUUAUCUAAAAUAAAUAGGUUCGCUACAUAAAAUUUCCGCUGAUCGACUUUGUGAUUUUAAUUUUAUAGCACUUUCAAUAUUUACUUUGAUCUAUUAAACACUGUAAUUUAUAAAAUUACAUAUAUGAAAUAAUUUAACUUGCAAAAUCAUUUUAUUGAAAAAUUCAAUCUGUAAAAUCAAAUAAAUUAAACACUUAUCAAAUAGUUGAAAUAUAAAAAUUAUUCUAAAUAUGAUAAUUAUAUAUUAAUUCAAUAUUUUAUAUAUAAAAGCCAAUAAUUCGAAAAACUAUGGUUAGCGUGCCGUAAAAUUAAAGUUACAAAAUUUAAAGAUGAAUUCCUAUGUUCAGCAAAAAUAAAUUACCAUGAAUAAAUUAAAAAUAACUAUUGCUGUAAGAACAUAUCUAUCAUAACGCUAUGGAAAAUAAUUAGCAAAAUUAUUUAUAAAAGGGAGGUAUUUUAGAAUACCUCUUUUCUCUUCUUUUUCCUCUCCUUCUUACCUGUCCUCGAACCUUGGCAGCAAGAUAAGACUGUGCAAGUAUCAAACCACCAAGGCACUUUAG